CCCUUAGGAAGCUUUCUGCUUCCAAUCCCAGUGCCCUAACACCAAGCCUGCCUAGAAAAUAAUCAAAAUAUUACUAUGCAUUGGAAAAGGAAUCCACACAACCUCGGCUAGAAUUAGCUUUUCAAAACAGUACACUCAGAUGAACUCGCUAAGAUUUUUUAAUAUUUUUAAAAAAUUUUUCCUUAUAAGUUUACUCAGACUGAAAAAAAAAAAAGACGUUUUCUCACACAUAUUAGCAGGAGCAGUCUUCAGCGAUGUAAGAAAAGCUUACUUCCAUUCAGACAGCUGUUUCUUAGGAGAGUACACAAGAGUUCGGGCCCCAGGGCCUCACUGCAGGCUGUCACUGGCCGAUAAACGCCAUUUCAGGCUACUUACACAAGCAUUCUGAGCUUCCGUCUCCCCGUCUGUAAAACGCGGAUGACACCGUCAACCCAGAGAAACACUGACGGGCACCGAGUAAGUCUCAGUAUAGCUCUCCAGUGACGCAACCGAAGGAAACAAGCAAAACCUGCCUCUGGGAUUCGCUCUUCACCAAUAAUUACUCCAGCUUUACAGAGUCACAGGGGAGCUGCAGCAGCAGUGGAGGAAUGGCCAUCACCGGCUCUGUCCCCUUCUUCCCCUCUUGGAGGACGUCUGCCUUGUUCUGGAUGAAGACGGCUUCUUCAGUCCGGGUCCUGGGAGAAGGAUUGGGUGGAGCAGAGCCUCAGCCAGGAUGGGGACCCCAAGAACCAGAGAGAAGUGCUGCUGUCAUCAGUUCCGAGGGUCCGGGAUUGUUACGGCAGCAAAGCACCACUCAGUUGCUGACAGUUUGGCUCAAGUCCUGCAUUCGCAUGGUUCCUCUGCCCUCACUCCUGUGUCCCCACUGAGUGCCCGGCGGUGUCUGGCUAAGCCGCGAUCCUGAACCCGGGUGCUCAGUGAAGAGCAAUCAGUCCAACUUGCCGGCCUUCCUCAUGUCAACAUAAUGUAGGAAAUAGUCACACUUUAAGAAGCAAAGG
ensembl:lncRNA